UGCAUAAUGACAGGGGGAGUAUUACAUCUUACGCAUUUUUCUUCACAUGCCUGCAUUUCAGGGGGAGUUAUCAUUUAGAUGUGAUUAAAUGUGAUAGGGGGAGCAUCAUUGCAUGUUUGAGAAAUUGCAUAUAUUUUUUUUGAUGCAUCUCUGUUUGAAUAUCAGCAUAAAUAUCUAAAGCAUUCCUUUUUUGUUAGUGCACAAAGGGUGGGAGAUUUUAUGAAAGCUUUAUGAAAGGGGGAGAAUGUUCAUUCUUUCUCAUAUCUGCUUGAUAUUUUGUUGUAUGAGAUUAUGUUAUAGGCAAAGUAUUUGAACUGUGAUAUAUCUUUUGUUACUCUGUUUUGUAUCUGGUUGCGCAAACAUGGUUGGUUAUUAAUCAUGGUUAUGCAUCAUAAAAAAAGAGGGAGAUUUUUGAGAUUGUUG
rnacentral:lncRNA from 1 species